rnacentral:rRNA from 1 species
UACGUAGGGGGCGAGCGUUAUCCGGAUUUAUUGGGCGUAAAGGGUGCGUAGGCGGUAUGUUAAGUCUAAAAUCAAAGCCCGAGGCUUAACCUCGGUUCGUUUUAGAAACUGGCAAACUAGAGUGCAGUAGAGGCAAGUGGAAUUUCUAGUGUAGCGGUUAAAUGCGUAGAUAUUAGAAGGAACACCAGUGGCGAAGGCGGCUUGCUGGGCUGUAACUGACGCUGAGGCACGAAAGCGUGGGGAGCAAACAGG